AACUCUAAUAGUUUAUAAAAACAUUGGUCUUGUAAGCCAAAGAUUGAAGACUGAACAUCUUCUUAGAGUUUCCA
rnacentral:tRNA from 1 species